rnacentral:lncRNA from 13 species
GGACGUGUUAAUGAAAGAUAGGAUUACGUCUGCGCAUGAAGAACGAUCUUCUUUUAGCGCGAGAUAUUUGCAGAAAGUUAAAAAUAACACAAACUAGCAAAGACGUCAAAAAACCAUUUCUAAGUUAGCGAAUCAAGGUAAAAGAAAAAAUCAGAAAAGCGCGUACGACUCCAGUUAUUAAAGUUAAAAUUGGCGAACGCAUCAAUCUUGAGAAACUCGAAUGCACGACGCGAGUUCCUCGAGCUAAAAAUACCUCGAUGCUCAGGAUAAUGGUGAAGAAGCCUUAGAGAGUGCGGUGGACGAUGCCGAGGCGAAGUUUGUGAAUGGCGCACUUGAACAUGAAAUCGUUACUGGGAAUGGAUUGCUCGUGAAAUUUGUUCCGCUGGUAUUGGAUGUAUGCCAGUAUCCCGACAAGUAUAACAACGAAAAUGUACUCAGCAAAAUGAUGACGAUGAGCUCUGAAUUUUGCGAACAAACUGUGCAACUUUUGAUCACCAGAUUGGAGCGAUCGCCGAUUCCGGGAUCCGAUCAAAUAUAUGCUGAUUGGAUUAAUUAUCUCAAGAUAAUAUGAACGUGCGUAGAACAUGCGUUCGUAUGUUGUCAAAUCUAGCUGUUAAUGAAAGAAAUGAUACGCGUGAAGAGACAGGUUUCAAUUUACGAAGUCAUUCUUCGUUCAACUUUUUCAAAAAAGCAACAUUUUAUAUAAUAUAGUUUCGGAUAUAUUGUCGCUUUUCGAAAAUCGUCAUUUAUGAGAGGAAAAAGGAAAAGCAGAAGCUGGAUAAAUGGAUCCAGACUUGGAUGGAAGGGGAAAAAAGGGAUCAACAUUUGUCUUUAAUAUUAAAGGUUAAAAGAAUAAAUUAAUUUGUAAGAUCUGAAAUAUAUACAAUUUGAUUUAUAA